UCUGGCUCAGGAUGAACGCUAGCGAUAGGCUUAACACAUGCAAGUCGAGGGGCAGCACGGUGUAGCAAUACACUGGUGGCGACCGGCGUACGGGUGCGUAACACGUAUGCAACCUACCCGCUAUUGGGGGAUAACCCGGCGAAAGUCGGACUAAUAUCCCAUAUUAUUCUUACCGGGCAUCCGGUGAGUCUGAAAGAUUUAUCGAUUGCGGAUGGGCAUGCGGAUGAUUAGCUAGUAGGUGGGGUAACGGCUCACCUAGGCGACGAUCAUUAGGGGUUCUGAGAGGAAGGUCCCCCACACUGGAACUGAGACACGGUCCAGACUCCUACGGGAGGCAGCAGUGAGGAAUAUUGGUCAAUGGGCGCUAGCCUGAACCAGCCAAGUCGCGUGAAGGAUGACAGAUCUAUGGUUUGUAAACUUCUUUUGCAGGGGAGUAAAGUGCGACACGUGUGUUGUAUUGCAAGUACCCUGCGAAUAAGCAUCGGCUAACUCCGUGCCAGCCGCUGC
rnacentral:rRNA from 1 species